AUGAUUUCGACAUGUAUCAUUCCAUCUCUACCGAGAGCCACCGCAAGACCCAGAUCCUCUGUUGCACCAGUCCGUCCAGACGCGACCCUUCAUCUCACCGGCAAUCGAACACCACUCCUCCGCCAGCCAUUAGUCCCCGCCAAGCCUUCAGGCGACCGCAAUCUCUGCGGAAUCGCACCCCUGCAGCCUUCCAUUCACGCCCCUAACUCCAGCCGGCGCACUGCUCUAACCUCUCCAGCCGUCCAGCAACCCAGAUCGCAAUCCACGAAACCACCGCUCAUCACCUGCGGCAAAACCGCAACAACAACAACCACCUCUACCUCCAUUCAGAUCCACGUGCGAUCUCCUCCCUUUGGACGACUCUCCUCCUCGAGCCUACAUCCGUCAUUCGUGCAGCCCCCUCCGUUCCGUUUCCCGUGCGCCGUCAACUCACCGACGAUCGCUCCGACGACCCCCAGCUACCUCGUCGAGAUCCCUCCGUUCAUCCGCGGACAGCGUCCCUGA